UUGGUUAGCUAAUAAGAGCGCAGGGUGGAUGCUUGGCACUAAGAGCCGAUGAAAGACGUGAUAAGCUGCGAAAAGCUUCGGGGAGGAGCAAAUAUCCAUUGAUCCGGAGAUAUCUGAAUGGGGAAACCCGGCUGAGAAGA
rnacentral:rRNA from 1 species